UGACGUACGAGCCGCUUGCUGCUUCUCUUUUUCUGUUUUUCUUUCCGGUAGCCUCCUCAGAAGUCGUCGUGGACACGUUGCGUAUCUUUUCUGUUCUUCCGGGAUUCAUUCGUCGGGAAAGACGACCACAAAAUCCGAGGGCUCGGCCCGUCGACUGCUCCCGGAAGGCAGAAAGAGUCCUCGCACCGAGUUCCCCUAGUGCGACAGCAUGUAAAGUUGGAGGCCUUGGAAGUCCUGAUCCAUCCCUUCCGAGCAGGAGAUUGUGAACGUGGAGAGAGUCGAAGCUGCAACCUGCGUGGGAAGGACUGUUCCGAGUGCUCCCGGUUACUGAGACGGCAGGAAGAAGGGCUGAGAAAGGGUGGACUCGUACCCGGGUAAAAGCAUCAGUUAGCCCUGAUACCGGGGAGACUGCAUUAACAGAGACUUUUCAGGAUAUAUCUGUGUAUAUCCAGAGA